UACGUAGGGUGCGAGCGUUAAUCGGAAUUACUGGGCGUAAAGCGUGCGCAGGCGGUUUUGUAAGCCAGAUGUGAAAUCCCCGGGCUUAACCUGGGAAUGGCAUUUGGGACUGCAAGGCUUGAGUGCGGCAGAGGAGACUGGAAUUCCUGGUGUAGCAGUGAAAUGCGUAGAUAUCAGGAGGAACACCGAUGGCGAAGGCAGGUCUCUGGGCUGACACUGACGCUCAUGCACGAAAGCCGUGGGGA
rnacentral:rRNA from 1 species